rnacentral:rRNA from 1 species
UACGUAGGUGGCAAGCGUUGUCCGGAAUUAUUGGGCGUAAAGCGCGCGCAGGCGGCCUCUUAAGUCUGAUGUGAAAGCCCCCGGCUCAACCGGGGAGGGCCUUGGAAACUGGGAGGCUUGAGUAUAGGAGAGAGGAGUGGAAUUCCACGUGUAGCGGUGAAAUGCGUAGAGAUGUGGAGGAACACCAGUGGCGAAGGCGACUCUUUGGCCUAUAACUGACGCUGAGGCGCGAAAGCGUUGGGGAGCAAAC